rnacentral:rRNA from 1 species
AGCAUGUGGUUUAAUUCGACGCAACGCGAAGAACCUUACCUGGGUUUGACAUAUAGGUUGUAGGGAACUGAAAGGGACCGACCCUUCGGGGAGCCUAUACAGGUGUUGCAUGGCUGUCGUCAGCUCGUGUCGUGAGAUGUUCGGUUAAGUCCGCUAACGAGCGCAACCCUCGUCGUAUGUUAUAUGUGUCAUACGAGACUGCCGGUAAAAGCCGGAGGAAGGUGAGGAUGAUGUCAAGUCAGCAUGACCUUUAUAUCCAGGGCUACACACACGCUACAAUGGUCUGUACAAUGGGUAGCCAAGCCGCGAGGCGGAGCCAAUCCUGAAAGCAGGCCUCAGUUCAGAUUGCAGUCUGCAACUCGACUGCAUGAAGCCGGAGUUGCUAGUAACCGCAGGUCAGCAAUACUGCGGUGAAUACGUUCCCGGGUCUU